rnacentral:sRNA from 1 species
GCUGGGUAUGGUGAUGCACGCCUGUAAUCCCAGCAAUUCUGGAGGCUGAGGCAGGAGGAGCACAAGUUUAAAGCCCACCUCAGCGAUUCAGCGAGGUCUUGAGCAACUUUGUGAGACCUGGUCUCAA